AACGCUGGCGGCGUGCCUAACACAUGCAAGUCGAACGGACUUAUCGCUGCAGAGACUUCGGUCAAAGCUUGAGUAAAGUAGUGGCGGACGGGUGAGUAACGCGUGGGCAACCUGCCUCAUACUGGGGGAUAACAGUUGGAAACGACUGUUAAUACCGCAUAAGCGCACAGCAUCGCAUGAUGCAGUGUGAAAAAACUCCGGUGGUAUGAGAUGGGCCCGCGUCAGAUUAGCUAGUUGGCGGGGUAACGGCCCACCAAGGCGACGAUCUGUAGCCGGACUGAGAGGUCGGACGGCCACAUUGGGACUGAGACACGGCCCAAACUCCUACGGGAGGCAGCAGUGGGGGAUAUUGCACAAUGGAGGAAACUCUGAUGCAGCGACGCCGCGUGAGUGAAAGAAGUAUUUCGGUAUGUAAAGCUCUAUCAGCAGGGAAGAAAGGCUCGCAAGAGAGAUGACGGUACCUGACUAAGAAGCCCCGGCUAACUACGUGCCAGCAGCAGC
rnacentral:rRNA from 1 species